ACUCCUACGGGAGGCAGCAGUGGGGAAUCUUGCGCAAUGGGCGAAAGCCUGACGCAGCAACGCCGCGUGCGGGAAGAAGGCUCUCGGGUUGUAAACCGCUUUCAGCAGGAACGAAAAUGACGGUACUUGCAGAAGAAGGUGCGGCCAACUACGUGCCAGCAGCCGCGGUGAUACGUAGGCACCAAGCGUUGUCCGGAUUUAUUGGGCGUAAAGAGCUCGUAGGCGGUUCGGUAAGUCAGGUGUG
rnacentral:rRNA from 1 species